GACUUAGUGAUCCGGUGGUUCUGCGGGGAAGGGCCAUCGCUCAACGGAUAAAAGCUACCCUGGGGAUAACAGGCUUAUCUCCCCCAAGAGUCCACAGCGACGGGGAGGUUUGGCACCUCGAUGUCGGCUCAUCACAUCCUGGGGCUGUAGUAGGUCCCAAGGGUUGGGCUGUUCGCCCAUUAAAGUGGUACGCGAGCUGGGUUCAGAACGUCGUGAGACAGUUCGGUCCCUA
rnacentral:rRNA from 1 species